AUAUUGGGCAAUGGGGGAAACCCUGACCCAGCGACGCCGCGUGAGGGAAGAAGGUUUUCGGAUUGUAAACCUCUGUCCUUGGUGACGAUAAUGACGGUAGCCAAGGAGGAAGCCACGGCUAACUACGUGCCAGCAGCCGCGGUAAUACGUAGGUGGCGAGCGUUGUCCGGAAUUACUGGGGGUAAAGGGAGCGUAGGCGGGAGAGCAAGUCGACUGUGAAAUCUAUGGGCUUAACCCAUAGCUGCGAUCGAAACUGUUCAUCUUGAGUGAAGUAGAGGCAGGCGGAAUUCCUAGUGUAGCGGUGAAAUGCGUAAAUAUUAGGAGGAACACCAGUGGCGAAGGCGGCCUGCUGGGCUUUAACUGACGCUGAGGCUCGAAAGCGUGGGUAGCAAACAGG
rnacentral:rRNA from 1 species